rnacentral:ncRNA from 1 species
AAUCAAGCGCGAGAAGGGCGUUUGGUGGAUGCCUUGGCAGUAAGAGGCGAUGAAGGACGUGAUACUCUGCGAUAAGUCCUGGGGAGUUGAGAAUAAGCUUUGAUCCAGGAAUUUCCGAAUGGGGAAACCCACCUGACAGUUCGUUAUAAUUACUUCGGUAGUUUAUAACGUUCUGAAACAGGUACUUAAGACCUGAAUACAUAGGGUUUUAAGAGCGAACCCGGGGAACUGAAACAUCUAAGUACCCGGAGGAAAGGAAAUCAACAGAUACUCCGCUAGUAGUGGCGAGCGAACGCGGACCAGCCGAGCCAUGAGAAUGACCAGAAUGAUCUGGAAAGAUCAGCCAUAGUGGGUGACAGCCCCGUAUGGGAAGUUCGAUUGGACGUAUUAAGUAGGGCGGGACACGUGAAAUCCUGUCUGAAGAUCGGGGGACCACCCUCGAAGGCUAAGUACUCCUUACUGACCGAUAGCGAACCAGUACCGUGAGGGAAAGGUGAAAAGCACCCCGACGAGGGGAGUGAAACAGUUUCUGAAACCGGACGCCUACAAGCAGUCGGAGGAGCCUUGAGCUCUGACGGCGUACCUUUUGUAUAAUGGGUCAACGACUUGGUCUAUCGAGCAAGCUUAAGCCGUUAGGUGUAGGCGCAGCGAAAGCGAGUCUUAAAAGGGCGAUUGAGUUCGAUGGAUCAGACCCGAAACCGAGUGAUCUAGCCAUGUGCAGGCUGAAGG